AUUGAACGCUGGCGGCAGGCCUAACACAUGCAAGUCGAGCGAGCGGCGGACGGGUGAGUAAUGCCUGGGAAUUGCCCAGUCGAGGGGGAUAACAGUUGGAAACGACUGCUAAUACCGCAUACGAUUGGAUUGCCCAGGUGGGAUUAGCUGGUUGGUGAGGUAAUGGCUCACCAAGGCGACGAUCCCUAGCUGGUCUGCGAGGAUGAGCAGACACACUGUAACGGAGACACGGUCCAGCCUCCUACGGGAGGCAGCGGUGGGGAAUAGUGAACAAUGGGGGAAACCCGGAGGCAACCAGGCGGGGUGUGUGAAGAAGGCUUUCGGGUUGUAAAGCACUUUCAGGUAGGAGGCGUUACUCGCAGAAGAAUCCCCGGCUAACUCCGUGCCAGCAGCGGCGGUAAUAC
rnacentral:rRNA from 1 species